rnacentral:rRNA from 1 species
AACGAACGCUGGCGGCAUGCCUAACACAUGCAAGUCGAACGAGACCUUCGGGUCUAGUGGCGCACGGGUGCGUAACGCGUGGGAACCUGCCCUUAGGUUCGGAAUAACUCCCCGAAAGGGGUGCUAAUACCGGAUAAUGUCUUCGGACCAAAGAUUUAUCGCCUUUGGAUGGGCCCGCGUUGGAUUAGCUAGUUGGUAGGGUAAAAGCCUACCAAGGCGACGAUCCAUAGCUGGUCUGAGAGGAUGAUCAGCCACACUGGGACUGAGACACGGCCCAGACUCCUACGGGAGGGAGCAGUGGGGAAUAUUGGACAAUGGGCGAAAGCCUGAUCCAGCAAUGCUGCGUGAGUGAUGAAGGCCUUAGGGUUGUAAAGCUCUUUUACCCGGGAUGAUAAUGACAGUACCGGGAGAAUAAGCUCCGGCUAACUCCGUG